rnacentral:rRNA from 1 species
GAGGCGAACCGGGGGAACUGAAACAUCUAAGUACCCCGAGGAAAAGAAAUCAACCGAGAUUCCGAAAGUAGCGGCGAGCGAAAUUGGACUAGCCCUUAAGCUUUACACGCGUUAGACGAACGGUCUGGAAAGUCCGACGAUACAGGGUGAUAGUCCCGUAGUUGACGACGUGUGUUCAGUGAAAUCGAGUAGGGCGGGACACGUGAUAUCCUGUCUGAAUAUGGGGGGACCAUCCUCCAAGGCUAAAUACUACUGACUGACCGAUAGUGAACCAGUACCGUGAGGGAAAGGCGAAAAGAACCCUUGUCCUGUGACUGCGUACCUUUUGUAUAAUGGGUCAGCGACUUAUAUUCAGUGGCAAGGUUAACCAUCUAGGGGAGCCGUAGGGAAACCGAGUCUUAACUGGGCGUUCAGUCUCUGGAUAUAGACCCGAAACCAGGUGAUCUAGCCAUGGGCAGGUUGAAGGUUGAGUAACAUCAACUGGAGGACCGAACCGACUAAUGUUGAAAAAUUAGCGGAUGACUUGUGGCUAGGGGUGAAAGGCCAAUCAAACCUGGAGAUAGCUGGUUCUCCCCGAAAGCUAUUUAGGUAGCGCCUCGGACGAAUACUACUGGGGGUAGAGCACUGUUAAGGCUAGGGGGUCAUCCCGACUUACCAACCCUUUGCAAACUCCGAAUACCAGUAAGUACUAUCCGGGAGACACACGGCGGGUGCUAACGUCCGUCGUGGAGAGGGAAACAACCCAGACCGCCAGCUAAGGUCCCAAAUUACUACUAAGUGGGAAACGAUGUGGGAAGGCUCAGACAGCCAGGAUGUUGGCUUAGAAGCAGCCAUCAUUUAAAGAAAGCGUAAUAGCUCACUGGUCGAGUCGGCCUGCGCGGAAGAUGUAACGGGGCUAAGUAGUAAACCGAAGCUGCGGCAAUGUGCUUUUGCACAUUGGGUAGGGGAGCGUUCUGUAAGCGGUUGAAGGUGUGUGGUAACGCAUGCUGGACGUAUCAGAAGUGCGAAUGCUGACAUGAGUAACGAUAAAGGGGGUGAAAAACCUCCUCGCCGGAAGACCAAGGGUUCCUGUCCAACGUUAAUCGGGGCAGGGUAAGUCGACCCCUAAGGCGAGGCCGAAAGGCGUAGUCGAUGGGAAACGGGUUAAUAUUCCCGUACUUCUUACAAUUGCGAUGGGGGGACGGAGAAGGCUAGGUGGGCCUGGCGACGGUUGUCCAGGUUCAAGUGCGUAGGCUUAAGAGUUAGGUAAAUCCGGCUCUUUUUAAGGCUGAGACACGACGUCGAGCACCUACGGGUGUGAAGUCAUUGAUGCCAUGCUUCCAGGAAAAGCCUCUAAGCUUCAGAUUGUAAGGAAUCGUACCCCAAACCGACACAGGUGGUCGGGUAGAGAAUACCAAGGCGCUUGAGAGAACUCGGGUGAAGGAACUAGGCAAAAUGGUACCGUAACUUCGGGAGAAGGUACGCUCUCGACGGUGAAGUCCCUUGCGGAUGGAGCUAUUGAGAGUCGCAGAUACCAGGUGGCUGCAACUGUUUAUUAAAAACACAGCACUGUGCAAAAUCGUAAGAUGACGUAUACGGUGUGACGCCUGCCCGGUGCCGGAAGGUUAAUUGAUGGGGUUAGACUUCGGUCGAAGCUCUUGAUCGAAGCCCCGGUAAACGGCGGCCGUAACUAUAACGGUCCUAAGGUAGCGAAAUUCCUUGUCGGGUAAGUUCCGACCUGCACGAAUGGCGUAAUGAUGGCCACGCUGUCUCCACCCGAGACUCAGUGAAAUUGAAAUC